rnacentral:rRNA from 1 species
CCUACGGGAGGCAGCAGUAGGGAAUCUUCCACAAUGGGUGCAAACCUGAUGGAGCAAUGCCGCGUGAAUGAAGAAGGUCUUCGGAUCGUAAAGUUCUGUUAUUAGUGAAGAACAAAUCGAGGAGUAACUGUCUCGAUUUUGACGGUAACUAACCAGAAAGUCACGGCUAACUACGUGCCAGCAGCCGCGGUAAUACGUAGGUGACAAGCGUUGUCCGGAAUUAUUGGGCGUAAAGGGAGCGCAGGCGGUUGGAAUAGUCUGAUGUGAAAGCCCACGGCUUAACCGUGGAAGGUCAUUGGAAACUGUCCAACUUGAAUGCAGAAGAGGUAAGUGGAAUUCCAUGUGUAGCGGUGAAAUGCGUAGAUAUAUGGAGGAACACCAGUGGCGAAGGCGACUUACUGGUCUGUAAUUGACGCUGGGGCUCGAAAGCGUGGGUAGCGAACAGGAUUAGAUACCCUGGUAGUCCACGCCGUAAACGAUGAGUGCUAAGUGUUGGAGGGUUUCCGCCCUUCAGUGCUGGAGUUAACGCAUUAAGCACUCCGCCUGGGGAGUACGGCCGCAAGGCUGAAACUCAAAGGAAUUGACGGGG